ensembl:lncRNA
GCCUGACAUCAAGUUAGCUACCCUAAGCUAACACUCCACCUUCUCGCCCAAACAUGGUCACUUCUGUUUCCAAAAACCAGCACGGUUAAAGCCGAAAGACUGAUGCUGACGAUUAAAACCAGUCAGAAACCAGUGGGUGAUGUCACAGUGGAAACAUCCAUCUUUUAUAUACAGUCUGUGGUUUUCCUCCAGAAAAGGUUAAAAACAAACACAGUUUGCUCAGUGUUUGCUCAUUUUCUACUUUAGCUUAAACUUUCUGUAAUUGCUGCUGUUUGUCUUCAACAACUCAUAACUUUUAUAUUUACCUGAUUUUUUUUCUGUUCUCGUCUCUGCACCUGAAGUGGAAAAUCAUCACCGGCAGGUCUCAGCAGGAAGAGAAGAGGAGCUUCAGGAGGUUUAUUCAGAGGCCAUUUCUAUAUCCUGCGACUUGUAAUCUCCAAUGAACAUCCACGACUGAGCGAGGAACAGCAGAAAAAGUCAGACUUGCCAAACAACCUGAAUUUUGAAAGUCACACCUCGACGUUCGUCCAGACUUGGAAACAUCACGAAGCUGUUCUGUUGCUCAGCAACGUGGAGCUUUUAAUUCAGACAUUGUCUCCAGCCUCCGUCAUUGUCGCUCACGCUUCACCUGGUCCAGCUCCACCGCUCAAACUACCCAACACUCGCACGCCGCUCCUGUUCUUGCUCCCCAUCGCCUGCUUUCAGCUAACCUACUGUUACUCGCCUCGCAGCUGAUGCCUCGCAGCUGAUGCCUCGCAGCUGAUGCCUCGCAGCUGAUGCCUCGCAGCUGAUGCCUCGCAGCUGAUGCCUCGCAGCUGAUGCCUCGCAGCUGAUGCCUCGCAGCUGAUGCCUCGCAGCUGAUGCCUCGCAGCUGAUGCCUCGCAGCUGAUGCCUCGCAGCUGAUGCCUCGCAGCUGAACCCUGUUAGAUGUGGCAGAUUCGUGUCUCCUCCCGGGAUCGAGCGGGG